rnacentral:sRNA from 2 species
CUCUCAGUCAAAGGGGAGUAGCUUUUACAGCAAAGUCGUCAUUACAGGAUGUAUAUCCUCGGCUUUGUUGGCAACUGAUCGUUGUU